CCAUUAAUUUGGUGUGUUUGGGAAGCAGGACUAUUACCUUGAAAAAAUUAGAGUGCUCAAAGCAGGCUAGUGCCUGAAUACAUUAGCAUGGAAUAAUAAAAUAGGACGGCAUGGUUCUAUUUUGUUGGUUUCUAGGAUCACCGUAAUGAUUAAUAGGGAUAGUUGGGGGCAUUAGUAUUCAAUUGUCAGAGGUGAAAUUCUUGGAUUUAUUGAAGACUAACUUCUGCGAAAGCAUUUGCCAAGGAUGUUUUCAUUAAUCAAGAACGAAAGUUAGGGGAUCGAAGACGAUCAGAUACCGUCGUAGUCUUAACCAUAAACUAUGCCGACUAGGGAUCGGACGAUGUUAGUUUUUUAAUGACUCGUUCGGCGCCUUACG
rnacentral:rRNA from 1 species